rnacentral:rRNA from 1 species
AUUGAACGCUAGCGGGAUGCUUUACACAUGCAAGUCGAACGGCAGCGCGGACUUCGGUCUGGCGGCGAGUGGCGAACGGGUAAGUAAUGUAUCGGAACGUGCCCAGUAGCGGGGGAUAACUACGCGAAAGCGUAGCUAAUACCGCAUACGCCCUACGGGGGAAAGCAGGGGAUCGUAAGACCUUGCACUAUUGGAGCGGCCGAUAUCGGAUUAGCUAGUUGGUGAGGUAACGGCUCACCAAGGCGACGAUCCGUAGCUGGUUUGAGAGGACGACCAGCCACACUGGGACUGAGACACGGCCCAGACUCCUACGGGAGGCAGCAGUGGGGAAUUUUGGACAAAGGGGGCAACCCUGAUCCAGCCAUCCCGCGUGUGCGAUGAAGGCCUUCGGGUUGUAAAGCACUUUUGGCAGGAAAGAAACGUCGCGGGCUAAUACCCCGUGGAACUGACGGUACCUGCAGAAUAAGCACCGGCUAACUACGUG